AAUUGCAUUUUGAGGCUAUGGGUAAAAUUCUGAGCAGUGUUUGGGCUGGAUUGCAGGACAAAUUCUGACUUCUCUUUUGUGGCCAAACUUUGAAUUUGAAAACGGCAGAUUUGGGUCUUACACUAUUCAUGAACAUUGUAGGCCUAUUUCUUAGCUUUCUAUC
rfam:Populus trichocarpa scaffold_486_contig_1, whole genome shotgun sequence.